UACAGAGGGUGCGAGCGUUGUCCGGAAUCACUGGGCGUAAAGGGCGCGUAGGUGGCGCGACAAGUCAGUGGUGAAAGCUCGACGCUCAACGUCGAGUCGGCCACUGAGACUGUUGGGCUGGAGCACUGUAGAGGCUCAUGGAAUUCCGGGUGUAGCGGUGGAAUGCGUAGAGAUCCGGAAGAACACCGGUGGCGAAGGCGGUGAGCUGGGCAGUUGCUGACACUGAGGCGCGACAGCGUGGGGAGCAAACAGG
rnacentral:rRNA from 1 species